GACGAACGCUGGCGGCGUGCCUAAUACAUGCAAGUAGAACGCUGACUACUUUAGCUUGCUAGAGUAGAAGGAGUUGCGAACGGGUGAGUAAUGUCUGGGAAACUGCCUGAUGGAGGGGGAUAACUACUGGAAACGGUAGCUAAUACCGCAUAACGUCGCAAGACCAAAGAGGGGGACCUUCGGGCCUCUUGCCAUCGGAUGUGCCCAGAUGGGAUUAGCUAGUAGGUGGGGUAACGGCUCACCUAGGCGACGAUCCCUAGCUGGUCUGAGAGGAUGACCAGCCACACUGGAACUGAGACACGGUCCAG
rnacentral:rRNA from 1 species